rnacentral:rRNA from 1 species
AUUGAACGCUGGCGGCAGGCCUAACACAUGCAAGUCGAACGAGUGGCGGACGGGUGAGUAAUGUCUGGGAAACUGCCUGAUGGAGGGGGAUAACUACUGGAAACGGUAGCUAAUACCGCAUACCAUCGGAUGUGCCCAGAUGGGAUUAGCUAGGCGGUGGGGUAAAGGCUCACCUAGGCGAAGAUCCCUAGCUGGUCUGAGGUGAUGACCGACCACACUGGAACUAGGCCACGGUCCAGACUCCUCUGGGAGGCAGCAGUGGGGAAUGUUGCACAAUGGGGGCAAGCCUGAUGCAGCCAUGCCGCGUGUAUGAAGAAGGCCUUCGGUUUGUAAAGUACUUUCAGCGGGGAGGCGUUACCCGCAGAAGAAGCACCGGCUAACUCCGUGCCAGCAGCCGCGGUAAUUC